rnacentral:rRNA from 1 species
AUGGCCCCCAACAGAGCUUCGGGAUCAUACAAUAUUCUAGUGGAGUUUUAUCAAGCCUGUUGGGAAAUAGUGAAAGGGGAUAUCAUGCUUCUAUUUAAACAUUUCCAUAAUGGGACGCUGGAUGUACAACGUCUCAAUUAUGAGGUGAUCACUCUUCUACCCAAAGUUUCUGGGCUGAUAAAAUUCAACAGUUUAGACCUAUCUGCCUCCUUAGAUGUGCAUAUAAACUUAUCACCAAAGCCAUGGAUCGUAGAGUUAAAAAAUAUGCUGACAAAUUAA